GUUGAAACACCUGUUCCCGUACGAUCACCGAACUUAAACAACGUCGAGUCUAGUCAGUAUCUAUAUGGAUGACCGUAUGGGAGUAGCAUGUGUUGUAAG